GGGGAAGUUUCCGCAAUGGGCGAAAGCCUGACGGAGCAACGCCGCGUGAGGGAUGAAGGCCUCUGGGCUGUAAACCUCUUUUCUCAAGGAAGAAGAUCUGACGGUACUUNNNNNNUAAGCCACGGCUAAUUCCGUGCCAGCAGCCGCGGUAAUACGGGAGUGGCAAACGUUAUCCGGAAUUAUUGGGCGGGGAGCGUCCGCAGGCGGUCUUGUAAGUCUGUCGUUAAAGCGUGGAGCUUAACUCCAUUUCAGCGAUGGAAACUACUAAGCUGGAGUACGGUAGGGGCAGAGGGNNNNNNCGGUGGAGCGGUGAAAUGCGUAGAGAUCGGAAAGAACACCAAGGGCGAAGGCACUCUGCUGGGCCGACACUGACACUGAGAGACGAAAGCUAGGGGAGCAAAUGGGAUUAGAUACCCCAGUAGUC
rnacentral:rRNA from 1 species